rnacentral:rRNA from 1 species
AUUGAACGCUGGCGGCAUGCUUUACACAUGCAAGUCGAACGGUAACAGGGUGCUUGCACCGCUGACGAGUGGCGAACGGGUGAGUAAUGCGUCGGAACGUGCCGAGUAGUGGGGGAUAACGCAGCGAAAGUUGUGCUAAUACCGCAUACGUACUGAGGUAGAAAGUGGGGGACCUUCGGGCCUCACGCUAUUCGAGCGGCCGACGUCUGAUUAGCUAGUAGGUGAGGUAAAGGCUCACCUAGGCGACGAUCAGUAGCGGGUCUGAGAGGAUGAUGCGCCACACUGGGACGGAGACACGGCCCAGACUGCUAGGGGGGGCAGCAGUGGGGAAUGUUGGACAAUGGGCGAAAGCCUGAGCCAGCCAUGCCGCGUGUCUGAAGAAGGCCGUCGGGUUGUAAAGGACUUUUGUCGGGGAGGAAAUCCCUAGCGUUAAUACCGCUGGGGGAUGACAGUACCUGAAAAAUAAGCACCGGCUAACUACGUGCCAGCAGCCGCCGUAA